GACGAACGCUGGCGGCGUGCCUAAUACAUGCAAGUAGAACGCCGUUGCGAACGGGUGAGUAACGCGUAGGUAACUGCCUCAUUGCGGGGGAUAACUAUUGGAAACGAUAGCUAAUAACGCAUACUUUUAGAUGGACCUGCGUUGUAUUAGCUAGGUGGUGGGGUAAAGGCUCACCAAGGCCACGAUACAUAGGCGAACUGGGGGGGUGGUCCGGCAACAGGGGACUGGGAAAAGGGCCCGACUCCGACCGGAGGCAGGAGGAGGGAAUCUUCGGAAAAGGACGGAAGUCUGACCGAGGAACGCCGCGGGAGUGAAGAAGGUUUUCCGAGCGUAAAGCUCUGUUGUUAGAGAAGCGGUAACUAACCAGGAAGGGACGGCUAACUACGUGCCAGCAGCCGCGGUAAUUC
rnacentral:rRNA from 1 species